rnacentral:tRNA from 1 species
GCCUUCGUGGCGUGGUGGUCAGCACGAUGGGCGCCUAUUCCAGAGGUCUGUGGUUCGAGUCCCUGCGAAGGCG